rnacentral:rRNA from 1 species
AAAACUUUCAACAACGGAUCUCUUGGUUCUGGCAUCGAUGAAGAACGCAGCGAAAUGCGAUAAGUAAUGUGAAUUGCAGAAUUCAGUGAAUCAUCGAAUCUUUGAACGCACAUUGCGCCCCUUGGUAUUCCGAGGGGCAUGCCUGUUCGAGCGUC